AUAAACUCAGAAGAAGAAGAAGAAGUCCAGCUUUUAGAUAUUGUAAUGAUACUGCACUUCUGUUUCUCAAAGCUUCUUGGUUUCUCUUUGAACACGUUCAAGUUUGAGGAGAAAUUUCCAUCAGGAGAUUAACACAGUGUCGGACGUGAGGAUGGAACAGACUUUGCUCUGGGUGCUGGGAUUAUUCUCACUGAAUCUUCUCUUCUACUGUGGACAAGCUGAAGUUGUUCUGACCGUUGAACCAAACUGGUCAGUAUUUUUCCAUGGAGAGUCUGUCACCCUCAUAUGUGACGUGAAGGAAGGACAAGAGACAGACUGGUGGUAUUUAUUCAACAGAGACGGUCAACGUUUUAUCGUGUACAGUUCAAAUAAGAAAUAUCAGAUAUACACACAAUACAUACAAACAGGACACUACUCUUGCACUGGUCGAAAUAAACUCUCAAGUAAUCAGGAGGAAAGUAAUAUGGUUCAUCUAACAGUUUUAGUGUACACACCUAAGGCAUUGAUUUUGGAAGUCAACAGUUCAACAGUGGGCGCUGUGAUGUUGACCUGCUCUGUGAGCCCAUCAACACCUGGCUGGGAAUAUUCCUGGUACAGCGGCACAAACACCCAACCUCUGACUGCAGGGGGCGCCAUUUUCCACUCGAAUGACAGAAUCAGUGUCUCACAGGAUGGACUUUACCGGUGCGCAGGAGGACGAGGAACUCCACGUUACUACACCGAGCACAGUGACACAUUUGUUGCCAUCACACCUGUUGUGAAGCUGAACCACAACUGGCCUGAGGUUUUCUACGGAGAGGAGACCAGGCUCACGUGUGAGAUGAAGGGUGGAGAAAACAUCGUGUGGGAGUAUGAGUGGAUGAAACAGCAAGUUGUUCUUCCAGACAAAAAGGAACAUGUAGUUGUCCAUGCUACAACAUCAGACUACAUGUGUAGGGCAGAAAGUACAUAUGGCCAAACACGGUGGAGUAAAGCUUUCAGACUGACAGUAAUUGUCAAAGAUAUUCUACUUGAGAGUCCGACACAUCCCGUGACUGAAGGAGCAGCUGUUACGCUUCGCUGCAAGCUGAAGACGGGGAACUUUGUUGCUAAUGUUGUCUUCUAUAAAAACGACAAAGUCGUCCAGAAUGACACGAGAUGGACGCUAACGAUCCCUGCGGUGUCAGAGUCACAUGAAGGCUUUUACAGAUGUGAAGGAAAAUAUUCUCAGCGGACUCUGACUUCACUACAGAGUUGGAUUUCAGUCAAAUCUUUGUCCAAACCAGAAAGCUCUCCAGGUCAUUUGCCUCUGAUUGUUGGAUUGGUUUGUGGAGUUUUAGUAAUAAUUCCUCUGCUGCUGUUUUUUUGCUACAGAAAGUCUAAAGACCCAAAUGGUAACAAGUUGGUAAAGGCACUCCAUUGUUUCAUCUCCAUCAUCACAGCAAUUCCUAACACUGCGGCAGAUAUAUACAUACUGUAAUAAGAUUUUUAUAUGACAUACUUAUUUUUGAAUGCAUAUUUUCAACAGUCAGACAUUUGCCACAGACCAAACUGUCAAUCAAGGGGAAAAUCAACAGCAGGUGUACUCGACUCUUCUUCACGGUGACGUUUGUAUCUAUGAAACAGUUGGAGGCGCUGGAAACAUUGGGACUGGUACAGUAUUUUCAAUUUAGGCUCCUACAUAGACUAAUGUGAUUGUGACUUGUGAUUGUGAUAUUUCCGGUAGACUGUCGCCUGAAAUGUUACCCCUUUUUCAUCUUAUGCCAUGUUAAUUCCCUCAGGGCUAACUACUGAAACAAGUUCUAAAAGACCAUGCAAAUGUUUCUGAUCAGUACCAGAUGUUUUGAUUGCUAAAGUUGCCUUAAAAAGUUAAAACUUAAGUUUCUUAUUUUUAUUUAGCCACCAAAGCAUGAGGCCGCUAAUAGCUUUUAUCGUGCGCUCUCUUAGUAAGAAACGUUGUUGUCACUGACAUAUUUUAGUCAAAAUUCCUGUUAAAUGUUACGAACGCUAUCACUAAUCGACAGCGUUUGCUUAGUGACCUGAAAGAUGCAAUACUAAUAUGACCAGUAGGGGCAGUGUAGAGGCAGCUCAGCUUGGGAAGUCACCCUAGUGGGCUGUGACGGUACUGCACGUGGGCCCUAUUUUUUUAAAAUCUGUAAUUACGUUUAAAAUAAUUGUAAAGAAAUGGUUAUUGUGGGAAAAAGAUGAAAGAUUAUUAUAUCAAAGGGGACAAUAAAUGUUACGGACAAUUUACACAGGGAUUUUCUGAUUGUUAAAUAUUGUUAUUUGAGAUUUUGUUUUAUGCGUGUUUUAUUUUCUUUUUUUCUCAAAGGACACCAACAUGCUGAGGUGGAGGAGCUUAACUACAACUAUGAAAAUGUAGAUUCAGGUGCAUGUAGAACUAUUACCAUGGAUAGGCAAAUCAGCAAUUAGCAAAAUUGACCAGAUGAUGCUCAACUUUAACCAUAAAAGACCUCCAUGAACAAUUUUCUUUUUUAAUGUCAGCCGGGAUUGGCUUGGUACUCAGUGUCAAAUUAACCACUGCAUGUUUGUGGAGUGCGGGAGGAAACUGGAGAACCCAUAAAGAACCCAAACACACACAGGGAGAACAUGUAAAGUCCACACAGACAAACGCCCUCAGUUGAACCAGGAAUCGAACCUACGACCUUCUUGACCUACUCUACUGUGUGGACUCCUCUUGUUCAUUAAUUAUUUCAUUAUCAUCUUAUCUUUUUCUUUUAAUAAAAAUCUUUG